rfam:Hyphopichia burtonii NRRL Y-1933 unplaced genomic scaffold HYPBTscaffold_2, whole genome shotgun sequence.
GGGUUUGUGGUCUAGUGGUAUGAUUUACGCUUAGGGAGUUUUACACUGUUCUAUUAAAUUGCGUAAGGUCCCGGGUUCGAUUCCCGGCAAACCCC